CGCUUCUUGGUCGCCUGGGCGUACAUUGCUGGUGCUGGCCAUUGAUUUUAGCCUUGCACAAGGGUGCUCCAGCUCGCCACCCAUUUGGACUGCCUUUCUAACAUGCUGUUAUCACUAUUGUGGCCUCUCCGCUCUUUCUGAACUCUAUGAACUUCCAGAUUCUGCUUUGAAGAGAUAGCUGUCCCAUGAUGUUUAUAAUGAGAUAUGAAGAACUGCCUAGGAGAAAAUCAGAGAUCACAGCAGGUUAUCAGCUGAAAUCUUGUGAACACUCCCUAUGGCUGCAACACCAUGCAAGGUGACCCUACACCAGUGGGGGCAAGAGACAACAGGAGAAAUGGAUCAUGAAAUAAAACUGUAACUGCAACCUGAGGCUGUUCUACUACUGCUACUACUACUACUACUACUACACCAUGAGGCUGUGUUCCACCCAUCUGCUAUGAUGCUUAUUGAAGAAUAUUUAUUUUUGUCUUGUAAUUUUAUGUGUGCUCAUGCACACUUCAUUUCAUAGUUUUGAUGGUUGUUCUGUGCAUGUUUCACCUCAAU